GCAGACACAUUCCAGCCAAUCAGCAGCAGACCCUCCCUCCCAGACCCUCCCACCUCCUGGACAGCUCACUAAGAAUGCAGCUUCACAAUGAAUGUAAAAUGGAUGCUGUCCAGGAGGUGGGAGGGUCUUGGAGGGAGGGUCUGCUGCUGAUUGGCUGGAAUGUGUCUG